rnacentral:lncRNA from 1 species
CAUGGCGGAGGUGGUCCGGGCGGAGGUGGAGGUCCAGGAGGAGGAGGGCCUGGUGGAUGGGGUGGAGGUCCUGGAGGGGGUGGCCCUGGUGGAUGGGGAGGAGGACCCGGAGGGCCAGGAGGACCAGGAGGGCCAGGAGGACCAGGAGGACCAUGGGGUCCUGGCCCGGGAGGCCCGGGAGGACCUUGGGGUCCGGGGCCUGGCGGACCUCCUUGGGGUCCGGGAUUUGGCGGACCUUGGUGGGGAGGACCUGGUGGCUUCUUUGGUGGGUUUGGCAAUGGCCUAUGUGACAUGAUAUCUUCUUGGUAAGUAUGAGUUUUGAUAUCUUGGCAUUUCUUGUGACUUGUUUCUGUUAGCUUGCAACAUGUCAAGUAUAUUAGACUGAAAACUACAUUGUGUUGUGAUUGGCAAAAUGGCAGCUUCUACUGCUUGUGCUGCUGCUGUUUGCUAGAUGAAUGCUUUGGUGGACCUCGUGGUGGAUUUGGACCUCCUGGAGGACCCGGAGGACCUCCUCCCCCAUUCUGAUAGUUUGUUUACUACUACUACAUUGAGGUUUCUGCAUCUGUAUUUUAAUGUAGCACUUAAUAAUUGAGAGCUCUACAUAUUAAUAGUCAUGCAUGUUACAAAGCUCUCUGUUGGACGCAGCUUAUUAUCACCUCAUUGCAUUUCAAGUCUUGUUAUGUCAGCUUAUUCUUACCACAGUUCGAGUCUUGUUAAUGUAGAGUUUAGAGAAGGGAGUUGUACCGUGAGCUUUGUGCUGAGUUCUUCAAUUACAUGUUACGAGAACCUUGUUAACUUCCAAAUUUAAAUGAGAAAGACAUUUGUUCAUCCCUGUAAUCUAUCCCUUUGAGAAAUGAUUUGAUUGUUCAAUGAGCUCCUAAGAAUGAUCUUAUCUUGUGCUAUGCAAGUACCAAAUGUUGAAUACUAAUUGACGCACUACAAAAUCUACUUUCUAACACAGAAAGCAUUCAUACUUUCUGCAGUGUUUAGUUGAUGAUUGUUCUCUCUGUUGCAAAAUUAGCAUGAUCAGUAGGUUUAUGUAUGAACUCUAUGUCUGGUUCUGAUAGAAAUUCAAAGACUGUCAUUCCAUUGCUAGAGCAAAUAGGACCUAGUCUACUCCCAGUAAAGUUAGAUGAUCUGAUCUUUUACUAUCAGUAAGUUGGGGGUGGAGUUGUAUUUAUUCUUGAAUUAGAAGAUUAUCAAAUGCUCAGUUUGUUAGUAGUACUGAUGUAAGUUGGAAUGGUAAGUAGACUUGCAGAGAUAAGGAUAUGUGUUGUCUAGUUUGACUUACAGGUUUGAGUAAGAGUAGUUGUUAGAAGUGUCCUCAUGUAGUACUACUGGCAAUGGGAUUACAUAAUCCUUAGAGGUUAAGCUAGCUCAAAUUGGAUCAGCCGGUCAGCUACAUCUGGAGUACUCUUAGAAAGCUUCUUUUGCUUGACACUAUUAUUCCACUUCGCUACCUGUGGUGGUGCCAAUAUUGAGAUAAAGUGUUAGUGAUGGAUGGCGGAGGUGGAGAUGGUGGAGGUGGAGGUGGAGGUGGGGGUGGGGUGGGGGUGGGAGUGGGGUGGAGGACGGGCGGGUGGGAGUGGGGUGGAGGUGGUGGUGGCGGUGGAGUGGGGUGGAGGGCGACGGGAGGGGGAGGGCCGGGUGGUUGGGGUGGAGGUCCUGGAGGGGGAGGGCCUGGUGGUUGGGGCGGAGGUCCUGGAGGGGGUGGGCCUGGUGGAUGGGGCCAUGGUCCUGGAGGACCUGGUUGGGGUCCAGGUCCUGGAGGUCUAUGGGGUCCAGGCCCGGGAGGACCUUGGGGUCCUGGGCCUGGCGGACCUUGGGGUCCGGGAUAUGGCGGGGGGUGGUGGGGCGGACCUGGUGGCUUCUUUGGCGGGUUUGGCAAUGGAAUAUGCCAGAUGAUAUCUUCUUGGUAAGUACGAGUGCAUGAGUUUUGAUGUUCUACUGUUUCUUGUGCUUUCUUUUUACUGGUACUCGAAAUCUAUGUACAUGGACUGAAAACUGUAAUGUAUUGUUCUUGUUAAUUGCAGUUUCUCGUGCUUGUGCUGCUGUUGUUUGCUAGAUGAAUGCUUUGGUGGACCUCGUGGCGGAUAUGGACCUCCUCCUCCUUUCUGAUACAGUUUG